GGAAGGUCGGCGGCGGACGAGCCCCUCGCCAACCCGGUCAGGUCCGGAAGGAAGCAGCCGUAACGAGUUUUGGUUCGGGUCGCCGUUCGGCCUUCCGCC
rnacentral:SRP_RNA from 1 species